AGUCAGGAGCUGAUGGAUGCCUGUGAAAUGCCUGAAGCCCCUCAGUAGAGGAGAGUAAAUCCCUGGUGACUCACAGAGGGGCAUCCCAUUAGAACAACACCUGUGCACUGGCAGAUCCCCAUGGAGGCUGGGAAAUGAAGAAUUAAGACAAGGGCAAGAGAAAACAAAAGACGGAACGAAGUUUGAGAAAUACUGCAGUCUUCGAUAAAAGUCUAUUUUCUCAACACUUCGUCUCCACAGAAUAUGAUCAUUUUCCUUUAAAUGCAAUAAUGUUUUUGUGCUGAAAUGAAAACUGUAAUGUAUGGCUUAGAGUUGUAGUUAUGAGUUUCUCAUAUGAGGCUUGUCUCCAGAAUGACUAAUUGAAUGCUUGUAAGAAUUGUUGUAUGCAACCAUCAAGACCAAGGUUCCUUGAGGGACUCUUUGCUUGUCUUUCAUAGACAUUAGCCUUGUCUGAAUAUAGCCCUUGUAAGUGUUUGACCAUGCUUGCAUUAUUUCUCAUUCUACUGAAGAAGGUGUUGUACAUGUUUUUGCUAAAUAACUAUUCACAAUUUCACUUCACUGAAUUAAUAAACAACUUAAACAGUU